GACGAACGCUGGCGGCGCGCUUAACACAUGCAAGUCGAGCGAAGCGGCGGACGGGUGAGUAACACGUGAGUAACCUGCCUUAGACAUUGUGAUAGCCUCGGGAAACCGGGAUUAAUACCAAAUGGUCUAAGAUGUACUCGCGUCCCAUUAGGUAGUUGGGAGGUAACGGCCCACCAAGUCGACGAUGGGGAGGCGGCAUUGGAGGGUGAAAGGCCACAUUGGAAAUAAGAAACGGUCCAAACUCGACGGGAGGCAGCAGUGGGGAAUAUUGCACAAGGGAGGGAAAUCUGAUGAAGCGACGCCGCGUGAACGAAGAAGGCUUUCGAGUCGUAAAGUUCUUUUAUAUGGGAAGCGGUACCAUAAGAAAAAGCCCCGGCUAACUACGUGCCAGCAGCCGCGGUAAUUC
rnacentral:rRNA from 1 species